rnacentral:rRNA from 1 species
ACAACCAGGAUGUUGGCUUAGAAGCAGCCACUCAUUAAAAGAGUGCGUAAUAGCUCACUGGUCGAGUGAUUCUGCGCCGAAAAUUUAACGGGGCUAAACUAUACACCGAAGCUUAGGAUACCGCAAGGUAUGGUAGGAGAGCGUUCUGUACGGAGUGAAGUCGUAGCGAAAGCGGCGGUGGACUGUACAGAAGUGAGAAUGCCGGAAUAAGUAGCGAGAAUUAAGUGAGAAUCUUAAUGGCCGAAAGUCUAAGGUUUUUGGAGGAAGGUUCGUCCGCUCCAAGUAAGUCGGGAGCUAAGGUCAGGCCGAAAGGCGUAGCCGAUGCACAAACGGUUGAUAUUCCGUUACCGUCUACAAUUUAAACAAAGGGACACAUACAAAGCGUUUAACCUGGGCGAUGGUUGACCCGGGCGCAAGGGACUGAAAUUAGAGUAGGGAAGUAAAUGUGGCGUAUGGCGAGAAAAGCUUUGUGAAUAGAAGUAGACGCCCGUACCGCAAACCGACACAGGUGGACAGGAAGAGAAUUCUAAGGCCAGCGGGAGAAGGGUAGUUAAGGAACUCGGCAAAUUGACUCCGUAACUUCGGAAUAAGGAGUGCUCGAAAGAGCCGCAGAGAAUAGGCCCAGGCGACUGUUUAGCAAAAACACAGGUCUCUGCCAAAUCGAAAGAUGAAGUAUAGGGGCUGACACCUGCCCGGUGCCGGAAGGUUAAGAGGAGGAGUGCAAGCUCCGAAUUGAAGCCCCGGUAAACGGCGGCCGUAACUAUAACGGUCCUAAGGUAGCGAAAUUCCUUGUCGGGUAAGUUCCGACCCGCACGAAUGGUGUAACGAUCUGGGCACUGUCUCAACUACCCACCCGGCGAAAUUGUAGUACCGGUGAAGAUGCCGGUUACCUGCGGCAAGACGGAAAGACCCCAUGGAGCUUUACUGUAGCCUGAUAUUGGGUUUCGGAAAUCUAUGUACAGGAUAGGCGGGAGACUGGGAAGUAUGAGCGUCAGCUUAUACGGAGUCAUUGUUGGGAUACCGCCCUUAGGUUUCUGGAAUUCUAACCUGCGACCGUGAAUCCGGUCGGGGGACAUUGUCAGGUGGGCAGUUUGACUGGGGCGGUCGCCUCCGAAAAGGUAACGGAGGCGCUCAAAGGUUGGCUCAGCACGGACGGAAACCGUGCCUCUGAGUGUAAACGCAAAAGCCAGCCUAACUGCGAGGAUGACGGUCCGAGCAGUAACGAAAGUUGGAGUUAGUGAUCCGGCGGUAUGUGAAUGGAAAUGCCGUCGCUCAACGGAUAAAAGCUACCCUGGGGAUAACAGGCUGAUCUCCCCCAA